CAGGCCUAACACAUGCAAGUCGAACGAAAAGUAAAUUUCGGUUUAUGGAUUCGUGGCGGACGGGUGAGUAUAAUAUAGAAAUUUACCGAGCACUGGGGGAUAACAGUUGGAAACGACUGAUAAUACCGCAUACGCCAUAUUGGGAAAACUAAGGUGGUGUUCGAUGAGUCUAUACCGGAUUAGCUAGUUGGUAGGGUAAAGGCCUACCAAGGCGACGAUCUGUAGCUGGUUUGAGAGGAUGAUCAGCCACACUGGGACUGAGACACGGCCCAGACUCCUACGGGAGGCAGCAGUGAGGAAUAUUGCACAAUGGGCGAAAGCCUGAUGCAGCCAUGCCGCGUGAAUGAAGAAGGUUUUAGGAUUGUAAAGUUCUUUCAAUGGUGAGAAUAGUGAUGUUAACCAUAGAAGAAGUCCCGGCUAACUCCGUGCCAGCCGCCGCGGUAAUACGGAGGGGGCGAACGUUAUUCGGAUUUACUGGGCGUAAAGCGAUCGUAGGCGGAAUGUUAAGUUAGAUGUGAAAGCCCUGGGCUCAACCUAGGAAUUGCAUUUAAAACUGGCAAUCUAGAGUGUUGGAGAGGAUGACGGAAUUCCAAGUGUAGAGGUGAAAUUCGUAGAUAUUUGGAG
rnacentral:rRNA from 1 species